UACAGAGGUCUCAAGCGUUGUUCGGAUUCAUUGGGCGUAAAGGGUGCGUAGGCGGCGAGGUAAGUCGGAUGUGAAAUCCCGGGGCUCAACCCCGGAACUGCAUUCGAUACUGCCGUGCUUGAGGACUGGAGAGGAGACUGGAAUUUACGGUGUAGCGGUGAAAUGCGUAGAUAUCGUAAGGAAGACCAGUGGCGAAGGCGGGUCUCUGGACAGUUCCUGACGCUGAGGCACGAAGGCCAGGGGAGCAAACGGG
rnacentral:rRNA from 1 species